AGAUGUGAUAGUGGUUAUCUGGCUGUGGCAUCUGUCAUGCCAUUGCGUGCACCAGGGUGGAAUUGGUGAUCUGAUAGGUUAGGUGGGUGUCCCCUUCCCCUUCAUUGCUUCAUCUGUGUCCCUCCCAGAGCUGCUCACUCAGUCAGAGAGGAUGACCUGGAUAGAGGAGGAUCAUAGGUCCAGGGUACAUGCUGGAACCUCUAAACAAGUUCCAAUGACAAAAUUUGACUCCAAUUUCCAAGUAAGGACUGAGAACUGUU
ensembl:misc_RNA 7SK 7SK RNA